GACGAACGCUGGCGGCGUGCUUAACACAUGCAAGUCGAACGGAAAGACCCUGCUUUUGUGGGGUGCUCGAGUGGCGAACGGGUGAGUAACACGUGAGUAACCUGCCCUUGACUUUGGGAUAACUUCAGGAAACUGGGGUUAAUACCGGACAGGAGCUCCUGCUGCAUGGGGGGGGUGGGAAAGUUGCGGCGUUUGGGGAUGGACUCGCGGCUUAUCAGCUUGUUGGUGGGGUAGUGGCGUACCAAGGCUUUGACGGGUAGCCGGCCUGAGAGGGUGACCGGCCACAUUGGGACUGAGAUACGGCCCAGACUCCUACGGGAGGCAGCAGUGGGGAAUAUUGCACAAUGGGCGGAAGCCUGAUGCAGCAACGCCGCGUGCGGGAUGACGGCCUUCGGGUUGUAAACCGCUUUCGCCUGUGACGAAGAGUGAGUGACGGUAAUGGGUAAAGAAGCACCGGCUAACUACGUG
rnacentral:rRNA from 1 species